rnacentral:tRNA from 1 species
GGGACCGUGGUGUAGGGGUAAGCGUGGUUGUCUCUCACCCAGUCGGCUUAGGUUCGAUCCCAAAGGUCCCG